AUACGUAGGGGGCGAGCGUUGUCCGGAAUGAUUGGGCGUAAAGGGCGCGUAGGUGGCCCGGUAAGUCUGGAGUGAAAAUCCUGUUUUUAAGAUGGGAAUUGCUUUGGAUACUGUCGGGCUUGAGUGCAGGAGAGGUAAGUGGAAUUCCCAGUGUAGCGGUGAAAUGCGUAGAGAUUGGGAGGAACACCAGUGGCGAAGGCGACUUACUGGACUGUAACUGACGCUGAGGCGCGAAAGUGUGGGGAGCAAACAGGAUUAGAUACCCUGGUAGUCCACACUGUAAACGAUGAAUGCUAGGUGUAAGAGGUAUCGACCCCUUUUGUGCCGGAGUUAACACAAUAAGCAUUCCGCCUGGGGAGUACGGCCGCAAGGUUGAAACUCAAAGGAAUUGACGGGG
rnacentral:rRNA from 1 species